GGGACAGAACCCCCCUUCCCCCCGGGGGCGCUGCUGAGCCCGCCACCCUGCUGGACAUCCCUCAGGGCAUCAGGAGUCUGUUCCAUUCCUCCAGCUACUGGUUGGCUUCUCUGAGCCUGCUUUUGGCACAGAAUUAACGGGGAAAAAACAACAACAACAAGGAAAACAAAUAAGAGCUCUGUGUCUUCCUGCCUCUGCACAUCAACAGCCCUAAGUUUUGAUUCAGAAGAAAGACAUCCAGGCUUCCGGGCCGGGGACUCCAGCUCAGAGCCUAACGCAGAGGACGUCUCCAGUGACUCAUUACUGGAAUAAAUGUUGCUAAUGUAAAAGGUAUGCAAAUAGAGCUUAAACGCUUAAACGGGUGAAGGAAGACGCUGCAAUCCGAUAAAUAACAUCCAGAAUGUUACUGUGGUUACGGUGGACUCUAUUUGCAUACAGGCUUAUCUUGUUUUUAAAGCAGGAGGGGGGGGGGGGAGAAAAAUCCCAACUUUCGCCUCCUGUUCUCAAAGUCCAAUCUCUGAAGAAGGCCUGGCCUUUCAAGCCAUGUUAACCAGCAAGAAGUGCUUUGUGUGGCAGAAUCCAAAACACAUCCAACACAUUUGCUAGUAUGUAGAAUGCAAACACGGGCUAGCCUCAGGUCAUCUUACUGAGAGAAUUGCACAAUCAAACUUUUUGUCAUCCAGGGUGGUGUGCUGGGUCAGGACUGAUCUGUCACUACCCCGGUUUCAGGAGUGGCCCUGCCCAGUGGCUGGACUCAUCACUAGUGGGUCCCUGGCUCCUCUUCCAACUCAGACUGAGAGAGAAUGAAAUAGAGAGAGAGAGAGAGAGAGAGAGAGAGAGAGAGAGAGACGCCCCAUAGUAGAUCCUGAGCUCUAUCUCAAAUUACAGAUCUUGCAGCGCCGAGAGUCCUGUGAAUGAAAGCCAGGAUGACUCGUCAUUUGGGAAGGAGAGCUCACACUGCAAAGAAAGAUCAAUGUGGGAAGAGUCCAGAGAAUUCAUGAAAUACACUCAAAACCAUUCAAAUGCUAUAAAGAUUCGUUUCAUAAGUAUUUUCAGUGUUUUCUUUUAUAUGGGUAUUUAAUCUAAUUUUGGGGCCAUUUGUCAAGAUGAAGCAGGCUUCCUAUUUAGAGUUCCUGUGCACCGCCCCCAUCCUGG